UACGGGGGGAGCAAGCGUUGUUCGGAUUUACUGGGCGUAAAGGGCGCGUAGGCGGCCACUGCAAGUCAGUUGUGAAAUCUCCGGGCUUAACCCGGAAAGGUCAACUGAUACUGCAGGGCUAGAGUGCAGAAGGGGCAACUGGAAUUCUCGGUGUAGCGGUGAAAUGCGUAGAUAUCGAGAGGAACACCUGCGGCGAAGGCGGGUUGCUGGGCUGACACUGACGCUGAUGUGCGAAAGCGUGGGGAGCGAACCGG
rnacentral:rRNA from 1 species